AGCAGUAGCCGCGGGAAUACGGAGGGUGCAAGCGUUAAUCGGAAUUACUGGGCGUAAAGCGCACGCAGGCGGUUUGUUAAGUCAGAUGUGAAAUCCCCGAGCUUAACUUGGGAACUGCAUUUGAAACUGGCAAGCUAGAGUCUUGUAGAGGGGGGUAGAAUUCCAGGUGUAGCGGUGAAAUGCGUAGAGAUCUGGAGGAAUACCGGUGGCGAAGGCGGCCCCCUGGACAAAGACUGACGCUCAGGUGCGAAAGCGUGGGGAGCAAACAGGAUUAGAUACCCGCGUAGUCCCUGUCUCUUAUAC
rnacentral:rRNA from 1 species